UAAGUAAUUCGCCUUAUCGCAGAGACCUUGCGUCUCUGAGGAAAGUCCGGACACCAUAGUGCAAUCAUAGUGGCUAACAGCCAUCCAUCGCGAGGUGAGGAAAAGUGCAACAGAAAGUAUGUACAGGUCAUGCUGUAGUGAAACCAGGUAAACUCUAUGUGGUGCAAUGUCAUGUAAACUAGUGCUUGAGCGUACACGCGCGAUACUAGAGGGUAGGCAGCUAAAGUUUGCUGGUAACAGUAAACGUAGAUAAAUGAUAAGGAUGCUAACAUGAUUUAUCAUCGUUAGUAUACAGGAUCCGGCUUAUAGAUUUACUUAAACA
rnacentral:RNase_P_RNA from 1 species